UACAGAGGGGGCAAGCGUUGUCCGGACUUACUGGGCGUAAAGGGUGCGCAGGCGGUCUGAUGCGUCGUCGCUGAAAGCUCUCGGCUCAACUGAGAGAGGCGUGGCGAUACGAUCAGACUCGAGUCUCUGAGAGGGUGGCGGAACUCCUGGUGUAGUGGUGAAAUGCGUAGAUAUCAGGAGGAACACCGGUGGCGAAGGCGGCAUCCUGGACCAAUAUUGACGCUGAGGAGCGAAAGCCAGGGGAGCAAACGGG
rnacentral:rRNA from 1 species